AGAGGAAAUUGCAGGAGGCGCUGGAGUAUGAGUCAAAACGGCGAGAGCAGGCGGAGCAAUCCCUGAAACAGACCAUCACCCCACAGAAAGUCUCAGAUCACUCAAUGACUCGUUGACCCAGGAGAUAGAGACUGACCGCAGCAGUGGCAGAACAGAUGCUGAGAGGACAAUACAAGCAGAUGGAAGACUUUUUCUGAAAACCACAGUGAUGUACUAACAUCAUGGCGUUGAAGACUGGCGGCGUGUAUCUUAUGAAGAUUCUCCAGAGGCCCUUUGCUGGCUAAUUAAGUUACAGAAGCAGGUCAAUCGCUCAUAGAGGUGCAUCAAGGGUUUAUGCUUGGACCGAUGUGGAAGAUGGAUUGUGUCCGAAUGUAGUAUUAGGACUCUUUUUUCUCACUGAUAUAAAUGUUAUGUUAUGCCAGAUGUGGAAUUGGAUAUGAUAAGCUGGCGAAGGCGACAAUUUGAGCACAGU